UACGUAGGGUGCGAGCGUUAAUCGGAAUUACUGGGCGUAAAGCGUGCGCAGGCGGUUUUGUAAGCCAGAUGUGAAAUCCCCGGGCUUAACCUGGGAAUGGCAUUUGGGACUGCAAGGCUGGAGUGCGGCAGAGGAGACUGGAAUUCCUGGUGUAGCAGUGAAAUGCGUAGAUAUCAGGAGGAACACCGGUGGCGAAGGCGGGUCUCUGGGCAACAACUGACGCUGAGGAGCGAAAGCGUGGGGAGCGAACAGG
rnacentral:rRNA from 1 species